UACGUAGGGUGCGAGCGUUAAUCGGAUUUACUGGGCGUAAAGCGUGCGCAGGCGGCCCGUUAAGACAGGUGUGAAAUCCCUGGGCUCAACCUAGGAAUUGCGCUUGUGACUGGCGGGCUCGAGUACGGUAGAGGGGGGUGGAAUUCCUGGUGUAGCAGUGAAAUGCGUAGAGAUCAGGAGGAACACCGAUGGCGAAGGCAGCCCCCUGGGACUGUACUGACGCUCAUGCACGAAAGCGUGGGGAGCAAACAGG
rnacentral:rRNA from 1 species